AGAGUUUGAUCAUGGCUCAGAAUGAACGCUGGCGGCGUGGAUUAGGCAUGCAAGUCGAACGGACGUUCUGGAUUUAUUCAGAAACGUUAGUGGCGAACGGGUGAGUAACACGUGGGAAACCUGCCCUCGAGUGGGGAAUAACAAUCCUAACGGAUUGCUAAUACCGCAUAAUAUUACAGAUCACAUGUUUUGUAAUCAAAGGUGGCCUCUACUUGUAAGCUAUCGCUUGGGGAUGGUCCCGCGUCCCAUUAGCUUGUUGGUAAGGUAACGGCUUACCAAGGCUCCGAUGGGUAGCCGGCCUGAGAGGGUGACCGGCCACACUGGGACUGAGACACGGCCCAGACUCCUACGGGAGGCAGCAGUCGAGAGGCUUCGGCAAUGGGGGAAACCCUGACCGAGCGACGCCGCGUGGGUGAUGAAGUCUUUCGGGACGUAAAGCCCUGUCAUACGGGAUGAGAAGUGGAUUGGUUAAUAGCCUUUCCAUCAGACAGUACUGUAAGAGGAAGCUCCGGCUAACUCCGUGCCAGCAGCCGCGGUAAUACGGGGGGAGCGAGCGUUAUUCGGAUUUAUUGGGCGUAAAGGGUUCGUAGGCGGUCAGAUUAGUCAGGGGUGAAAUGUAACGGCUUAACCGUUGACCUGCCUCUGAAACUGUCUGACUUGAGUACGGGAGAGGAAAGCGGAAUUCUUGGUGUAGCGGUGAAAUGCGUGGNUAUCAAGAGGAACACCCGUGGCGAAANNGGCUUUCUGGCCCGAUACUGACGCUGAUGAACGAAAGCCAGGG
rnacentral:rRNA from 1 species